GCGCUUGCUUCAGCAGCAUGUAUACUAAAAUUGGAAUGAUACAGAGAAGAUUAGUAUGGCCUCUGUAAAAAUAUCUUUUUAAGUAUAAAAUAAAAAGUUUUU
ensembl:snRNA U6 U6 spliceosomal RNA